ensembl:lncRNA
AUGGGGCAGAUUUUGGAGUUAAGGGGCCAAGGAUUUAGAAUCUACAUUUGGGAUCUCUGGGGUCGAGGAGUUGGGGGUUGUGGAGCCAAGGAUUUGGGAUCUCUGGGAUCAAGGGUUUGGGAUUUAUGGGGCCAGGGAUUUGGGGGGUUGUGGGGCCAAGGAUAUGGAGUGUAUGGGGUCAGGGAUUUGGGAUAUUUGAGAUCAGGGAUUUCGAGUGUAUGGGGUCAAGGAUUUGGGAUAUCUGGGAUCACGGAUUUGGGGUUUAUGGGGCCGGGGAUUUGGAGUGUUUGGGGUCACGUUAUGGGGUCUGUCGGGCUCGUGACUGAAUUCCUUUUUCCCGGGAGUCCCGGGGCUCCGGCGGGGUCCGGCUGCCCGAAGGAGGUCUCGGAGAGCUCCGGGCCUGGGGGCGUCCCGGGAUCCUUCCUGUCCCUCUGGAAAAGAGGCGGGAAUUCCAUGGAGCCUCCUCGGGAUGGGGAUUAAGACCCAGCUUUGACCCCCCAGACCCGGUUUUGAACCCCCAGACCCGACUUUGACCCUUCUCAGUGUCCAGAACCCUCCUAGACUCGGCUUUGGCCCCCCAGACCUGGCUUUGAGCCCCCCUAGAACUGGCUUUGACCCUUCCCAGUGUCCAGAACUCUCCUAGACCCAGCUUUGAGCCCCCCUCUAAACCUGGCUUUGAGCCACCCAGACCUGGCUUUGACCCCUCCAGACCCAGCUUUGACCCCUCCCAGACCUGGCCUUGAGCCCCCCUAGACCCAGCUUUGAGCCCCCUAGACCCAGCUUUGAGUCCCCCUAAACCCAGCUCUGAGCCCCCUUAAACCCAGCUUUGAGCCCCCCUAAACCCAGCUCUGAGCCCCCUUAAACCCAGCUUUGAGCCUCCCUAAACCCAGCUCUGAGCCCCCUUAAACCCAGCUUUGAGCCCCCCUAAACCCAGCUUUGAGCCCCCCUAAGCCCAGCAUUGAGCUCCCCUAAACCCAUCUUUGAGCCCCCCUAGACCCAGCUUUGAGCGCCCCUAGUGAGCCCCCCUAGACCCAGCUUUGAGCCCCC